rnacentral:rRNA from 1 species
UGGUGAAUAUUGCACAAUGGGCGCAAGCCUGAUGCAGCCAUGCCGCGUGUAUGAAGAAGGCCUUCGGGUUGUAAAGUACUUUCAGCGGGGAGGAAGGGAGUAAAGUUAAUACCUUUGCUCAUUGACGUUACCCGCAGAAGAAGCACCGGCUAACUCCGUGCCAGCAGCCGCGGUAAUACGGAGGGUGCAAGCGUUAAUCGGAAUUACUGGGCGUAAAGCGCACGCAGGCGGUUUGUUAAGUCAGAUGUGAAAUCCUCGGGCUCAACCUGGGAACUGCAUCUGAUACUGGCAAGCUUGAGUCUCGUAGAGGGGGGUAGAAUUCCAGGUGUAGCGGUGAAAUGCGUAGAGAUCUGGAGGAAUACCGGUGGCGAAGGCGGCCCCCUGGACGAAGACUGACGCUCAGGUGCGAAAGCGUGGGGAGCAAACAGG